UUGAUUCGUUUGUGUAUUCCUCUGAGAUGCCAACGCAAGAGCCAAGAGUAUGGGGGCCGCCGGCGGGCUGAGCGCUCCGGGGCCCGCGAGGGGGGACACCCGGGGCACCCGCCGAGGCAACGAUGGGUAGGUUCACAGUGGUUGUACGGGAGUCUUGCGAGUCCUGUAAUGAUCCCUCCGCUGGUUCACCAACGGAGA
rnacentral:misc_RNA from 1 species